rnacentral:tRNA from 1 species
ACGGAAGUAGUUCAGUGGUAGAGCACUGGUCUCCAAAACCAGGUGUCGGGAGUUCGAAUCUCUCCUUCCGUGCGA